UCCUACGGGAGGCAUCAUUUAUUAAUAUUGGUCAAUUUUCGCUAUCCUUCCCCCUCCAAUUCUCUUUACUUAUUACUUCCCUACGGGUUGUAAACUUCUUUUAUAAAUGAAUAAAGUGAGGCACGUGUGCCUUUUUGUAUGUACUUUAUGAAUAAGGAUCGGCUAACUCCGUGCCAGCAGCCGCGGUAAUACGGAGGAUCCGAGCGUUAUCCGGAUUUAUUGGUUUUAAAGGGAGCUUAUAUUUUUUUUUAAUUCAUUUGUGAAAGUUUGCGGCUCAACCGUAAAAUUGCAAUUGAUACUGGCAG
rnacentral:rRNA from 1 species